UACGGAGGGAGCUAGCGUUGUUCGGAAUUACUGGGCGUAAAGCGUGCGCAGGCGGUGAUGUAAGACAGAUGUGAAAUCCCCGGGCUCAACCUGGGAACUGCAUUUGUGACUGCAUCGCUGGAGUACGGCAGAGGGGGAUGGAAUUCCGCGUGUAGCAGUGAAAUGCGUAGAUAUGCGGAGGAACACCGAUGGCGAAGGCAAUCCCCUGGACCUGUACUGACGCUCAUGCACGAAAGCGUGGGGAGCAAACAGG
rnacentral:rRNA from 1 species